AGCUGUUAAUUUUAAGAGUGAGAUUUUUGACUAUGCUUAAAAUAAAGACUUUAUUUUUAAGAUAUAGAAAAUGGAAUAGUGACACUAUGUAGAUGAUUCUCAAAAAUUUUAUUAUUUUAAAAAAUAUGUAUUUAAUGAAAAUAAUAUGUUUUACGUAGUUUUAUACAGUCCAUUUUGACACUGGUUUCCCCUCCUCCAACUCCUCCCAGAUUCUUCCUACCUCCAGACCCACACAGCCCCAUGUCCAUCUGUUCAUUCAUUCUCUCUCUUUCUUAGUCUCUUGCUUUCCUUCUUUCUUUCUCUUAAAUAGGCAAAUAAAAGUAACUAAUAAAUGAAAAUUUAAUGAAAAAAAUAAGAAAACACACACACACACACACACACACACACACACACACACACACACCAUGAAAACACAAAAUCAAGACCAUAAGAUACAAGGAAAAAAAAAACCCAGCAAGACAAGCAAGCAAGCAAAAACAAAACAAAACAAAAUAAAACAAAAACAACUCCCCCAAGCCCCCAAAACAAAACAACCUCCCAAACCAAAAAGCUCCCACAAAACAAACAAACAGAAACUCCAAAGAAUUAUGAGGCAAAAAGUCUACAAAAAUACCAUUGAGUUUGUUUUGUGUUGGCCAUCUACUGCUGGGCAUGGGGUAUGCCCCUUAAGUGUGGUUUGUAUACCCAAAGAGACUCCAUUAAAGAAAACUAAAUCUUCCUGGACAUCACUGGAGAUAACUUUUGGGUAAGGGAUGGGAGAUUGUGUACACUUUGUUUUUUCUUUUUUGGAUUGGGCUCCUGCCCAGCCUGUGCAGACCCUGUGCAUGCUGCCACAGCAUCUGUGAGUUCAUAUGUGCAUCAGUCUUGUGUCCAUGGUGUUCAUCCCCUCUUGCUCUUAGAAUCUUUUUACUGCCAUCUCUUCCACGUACCCCCAUGAGCCCUGACGGGAGUUCUUGAGACUAUCUAUGUACUUAUGUAAGAAUUCAUAGAGGUGUGUGUGUGUGUGUGUGUGUGUGUGUGUGUGUGUGUGUAGAGGCAUAGGUGUCUUCCUUAAUUGCUCUUCAUUUUAUUUUUAAGGCAGCAUCUCUCAUUGACUCUGGAGCUUAUUCAAGUAGACUAGAUGGCCAGUAGCCCCCAGGGAUUCUCCUGUCUCUAUCUCCCUAGUGUAGGACUAUAGUAGUACACUGUCACAUGGGCUUCUAUGUAGGUGCUGGGGGUUUGGACUCAAGUCCCCAUGCUUGUAUAUCAGGCACUUUACUGACUAAGUUGUCUUCCCAGCCAGGUCCAUAGAUAAUUUUUAAAUGUGAAUUAUAGAUCUUUAUCAUACCACAACUUAAAACUUAAAUAAAUGCUUAGUAACAUUAAUUUAUAAUGUUUAUUAAUUGAUAAAGGAUGAUGUAUUUUAACAGAGGACUAUAUUUUCAAAACACCGAGUGAGAAAACAUUAUUGUUUUACAUUUUUGCCAAUUCCUCUCACUUCUGGUUUAAGGAAGUUGGUUGUCCAUUACUUUGUAUGCUAAUGUAAAAACAAAAACAUAGAGGAUGCAUGCAUUCUUCCACCUGCUUCUAAGUUUAAUCCAUUGUACUCUAUAGUUUUGAGUAGAGUAUCAGAAAAAAAGGUUGUCCCCCAAAUGUGGUGAUUUGAAGAUGUCCCCCGCAGGAUCAGGUGUUGGAACACUUGCUCUGCAGUUGGUCGCAGUUUUGAGGAGGAGGUUUUGGAACCUUUAGGAGGUGGAGGCUGAGGGAAUCACUUUCACUAGUUGUAGGGUUUGAGUGUUUAUAGUGUUGCCCUGGUUUCAGUUCACUUGCUAGGCUUUGUGUUUGUGGUUGAAGACAGGAUUGCUCAGCUUCAUGCUCUGGCCAACGGCAUCAUCCCUUCCUUGCCACUGUGGACUCUAUUCUCUUGGAGUAGUAAGCCAAAAUACACUCCUUUUUCUUUAGUUGCCAAGGUCAUGAUAUUUUAUCACAGCAAUAGAAAAGAAACUAACACAUCAGAUAAAUAUGUAGUUGGUGAAGGCAAAGGUAUUUUAAUGGCCUCUUUCCACAAAUACAAUUAUUUUCUGAUACUGCACCAAAAAAUUGGAAAACUCAUAUUAUUAAUGAGUUUUUUCUGUUUUUGCUUUGACAGAUUGCAGUCUGUUUUAAUUGAUAUGUUACAUAUUCACUUGUAUUAAUUCUUUAGGUUGGGAUGGAAAUUAAUGGGCUUCAUCAUGUCACCUUCAUACACAUGACAUAUGUGUCAUUUAUGCAUAGUUGCUUUAAAUGGAUCUUUUACCCAUACAUGAUUCUGUAUUAGCAUUCCCUGAUCAUUGUAAAUGUUGUCUUAUGGAAUAUUCCAGUCUCCCAAAUGCCACUGCAUUUCAUUGUACAACUUUCAGAAAAAAAAAUCACACUUGUUAUUAUCCCCCCUGAUUGUAUUGCGAAGGCUUUAAAGUAUUGAGUGGCUGUCAAACCCAUGGUGGCUGGCAGAAACAAGUGUCCUCAACUAGUGAGUUUUUCUAUUAAGGUUGAACUGUGUCCUUGGCAACAAAUGCCAUCAGUUAUUUUCUCUGAAACAACAGUCUUCCUUAAUUCAUUUUUGAGAAAAUGUGUGCUAAGCACUUGAGUGUUUUACAUGUCAGUCAAACUUUCAAAUAAAAAGUAUUCCACG
rnacentral:lncRNA from 1 species